AUUGAACGCUGGCGGCAGGCCUAACACAUGCAAGUCGAACGCGUGGCGGACGGGUGUGUAAUGUUUGGGAAAUUGCUCUAUGGAGGGGGAUAACUACUGGAAACGGUACCUAAUCCCGCAUACCAUUAAAUGCGCCCAGAUGGGUUUAGCUAGUUGGUGGGGUAACGGCUCACCAAGGCAACGAUCCCUAGCUGAUCUGAGAGGUUGACCAGCCACACUGGAACUGAGACACGGUCCAGACUCCUACGUGAGGCAGCAGUGGGGAAUAUUGCACAAGGGGCGCAAGCCUGAUGCAGCCAUGCCGAGUGAGUGAAGAAGGCCUUCGGUUUGUAAAGUUCUUUCAGCGGGGAAGCGUUACCCGCAGAGGAAGCACCGGCUAACUCCGUGCCAGCAGCCGCGGUAAUUC
rnacentral:rRNA from 1 species